rnacentral:rRNA from 1 species
UACAGAGGGUGCAAGCGUUAAUCGGAAUUACUGGGCGUAAAGGGCGCGUAGGUGGUUGACUAAGUCAGAUGUGAAAUCCCUGGGCUUAACCUAGGAAUUGCAUUUGAAACUGGUCAGCUAGAGUAUGGGAGAGGGAAGUGGAAUUUCAGGUGUAGCGGUGAAAUGCGUAGAUAUCUGAAGGAACACCAGUGGCGAAGGCGGCUUCCUGGCCCAUUACUGACACUGAGGCGCGAAAGCGUGGGGAGCGAACAGG